GAUGAACGCUAGCGGCGUGCCUAAUACAUGCAAGUCGAGCGAACGGACGAGAAGCUUGCUUCUCUGAUGUUAGCGGCGGACGGGUGAGUAACACGUGGAUAACCUACCUAUAAGACUGGGAUAACUUCGGGAAACCGGAGCUAAUACCGGAUAAUAUUUUGAACCGCAUGGUUCAAAAGUGAAAGACGGUCUUGCUGUCACUUAUAGAUGGAUCCGCGCUGCAUUAGCUAGUUGGUAAGGUAACGGCUUACCAAGGCAACGAUGCAUAGCCGACCUGAGAGGGUGAUCGGCCACACUGGAACUGAGACACGGUCCAGACUCCUACGGGAGGCAGCAGUAGGGAAUCUUCCGCAAUGGGCGAAAGCCUGACGGAGCAACGCCGCGUGAGUGAUGAAGGUCUUCGGAUCGUAAAACUCUGUUAUUAGGGAAGAACAUAUGUGUAAGUAACUGUGCACAUCUUGACGGUACCUAAUCAGAAAGCCACGGCUAACUACGUGCCAGCAGCCGCGGUAAUACGUAGGUGGCAAGCGUUAUCCGGAAUUAUUGGGCGUAAAGCGCGCGUAGGCGGUUUUUUAAGUCUGAUGUGAAAGCCCACGGCUCAACCGUGGAGGGUCAUUGGAAACUGGAAAACUUGAGUGCAGAAGAGGAAAGUGGAAUUCCAUGUGUAGCGGUGAAAUGCGCAGAGAUAUGGAGGAACACCAGUGGCGAAGGCGACUUUCUGGUCUGUAACUGACGCUGAUGUGCGAAAGCGUGGGGAUCAAACAGGAUUAGAUACCCUGGUAGUCCACGCCGUAAACGAUGAGUGCUAAGUGUUAGGGGGUUUCCGCCCCUUAGUGCUGCAGCUAACGCAUUAAGCACUCCGCCUGGGGAGUACGACCGCAAGGUUGAAACUCAAAGGAAUUGACGGGGACCCGCACAAGCGGUGGAGCAUGUGGUUUAAUUCGAAGCAACGCGAAGAACCUUACCAAAUCUUGACAUCCUUUGACAACUCUAGAGAUAGAGCUUUCCCCUUCGGGGGACAAAGUGACAGGUGGUGCAUGGUUGUCGUCAGCUCGUGUCGUGAGAUGUUGGGUUAAGUCCCGCAACGAGCGCAACCCUUAAGCUUAGUUGCCAUCAUUAAGUUGGGCACUCUAAGUUGACUGCCGGUGACAAACCGGAGGAAGGUGGGGAUGACGUCAAAUCAUCAUGCCCCUUAUGAUUUGGGCUACACACGUGCUACAAUGGACAAUACAAAGGGCAGCGAAACCGCGAGGUCAAGCAAAUCCCAUAAAGUUGUUCUCAGUUCGGAUUGUAGUCUGCAACUCGACUACAUGAAGCUGGAAUCGCUAGUAAUCGUAGAUCAGCAUGCUACGGUGAAUACGUUCCCGGGUCU
rnacentral:rRNA from 1 species